rnacentral:rRNA from 1 species
GAUGAACGCUGGCGGCGUGCUUAACACAUGCAAGUCGAACGGAAAGGCUCCUGCUUGCAGGGGUACUCGAGUGGCGAACGGGUGAGUAACACGUGGGUGAUCUGCCCUGCACUUCGGGAUAAGCCUGGGAAACUGGGUCUAAUACCGGAUAGGACCACAUUUUGGAUGGUGUGGUGGAAAGUUUUUCGGUGUGGGAUGAGCUCGCGGCCUAUCAGCUUGUUGGUGGGGUAAUGGCCUACCAAGGCGUCGACGGGUAGCCGGCCUGAGAGGGUGUACGGCCACAUUGGGACGGAGAUACGGCCCAGACUCCUACGGGAGGCAGCAGUGGGGAAUAUUGCACAAUGGGCGCAAGCCUGAGGCAGCGACGCCGCGUGGGGGAUGACGGCCUUCGGGUUGUAAACUCCUUUCGCUAGGGACGAAGCGUUUUUGUGACGGUACCUGGAGAAGAAGCACCGGCUAACUACGUG